CAACUAUGCGGUUUACAAAAUGUUCUAUUAUUGCAUAAAACUAUCUUUGGUCUAUCACCUUCUAAAACUUCUUACACUCUUUCUUGGUGUUAGGUCAAAUCUGCAAAUGCUUUAUCUGUUCUCCAUAUCAUUAGAGCUCCAUCUUCCACAAAUAUUUUAAGAUAGACCUUCCCUCCACAAUCAUUACUCCCACAGUCUUAAUGUAACCAGUGAACAUGGACAGCAGCCGUCCAAUAUACAUUCACAUUAUCAAAACAUGAUGGAAGCUGUAGAUAUGCCUAAAUGUCCACGUUGGUUAAAUCUAGACUUAAGAGGCUCUGCUCCUCAGAAGUUGGACUUCUGAAAAAUGCUGAACGAGAACAAGAAUCAGAAGAAGAAAUGUGACUUUGAUGAGCUUCCAGUUUUUCUAGAUAAACCUUUUCUUUUUUACA
rnacentral:lncRNA from 1 species